rnacentral:sRNA from 2 species
UGAAUACCUCGUUAGGUGAGGCUCCUGUGCUGGAGAUAUGCUGCUGCCCAAAAAUGUCCAAAGACGCCAAUGGGUCAACAGGAAUCAUCGACAUAAGGUGAUUUUUAAUGUAGCUGGAAUUCUAAUUCCUAUGCCGCACAGUGCUAAAGCUCUACGAAUGGAGGAAGAGU